rnacentral:rRNA from 1 species
GACGAACGCUGGCGGCGUGCCUAAUACAUGCAAGUCGAACGAGCGGCGGACGGGUGAGUAAUGUAUGGGAAUCUGCCCGAUGGAGGGGGAUAACUACUGGAACCGGUGGCUAAUACCGCAUACUAUCGGAUGAACCCAUAUGGGCUUAGCUAGUAGGUGGGGUAAAGGCUCACCUAGGCGACGAUCCCUAGCUGGUCUGAGAGGAUGAUCAGCCACACUGGAACGGGGACACGGCCCAGAGUCCUACGGGAGGCAGCAGUGGGGAAUAUUGCACAAUGGGCGCAAGCCUGAUGCAGCCAUGCCGCGGUGAUGAAGAAGGCCUUAGGGUUGUAAAGUACUUUCAGCGGGGAGGCGUUACCCGCAGAAGAAGCACCGGCUAACUCCGUGCCAGCCGCCGCGGUAAUAC